UUGAAUUUAAGGCAUUGC
rnacentral:snRNA from 1 species